UAAUCGAUGGGGGGACGCAGUAGGAUAGGCGAAGCGUGCGAUUGGAUUGCACGUCUAAGCAGUAAGGCUGAGUAUUAGGCAAAUCCGGUACUCGUUAAGGCUGAGCUGUGAUGGGGAGAAGACAUUGUGUCUUCGAGUCGUUGAUUUCACACUGCCGAGAAAAGCCUCUAGAUAGAAAAUAGGUGCCCGUACCGCAAACCGACACAGGUAGUCAAGAUGAGAAUUCUAAGGUGAGCGAGCGAACUCUCGUUAAGGAACUCGGCAAAAUGACCCCGUAACUUCGGGAGAAGG
rnacentral:rRNA from 1 species